AUUGAACGCUGGCGGCAGGCCUAACACAUGCAAGUCGAGCGGUAGCACAGAGAGCUUGCUCUCGGGUGACGAGCGGCGGACGGGUGAGUAAUGUCUGGGAAACUGCCUGAUGGAGGGGGAUAACUACUGGAAACGGUAGCUAAUACCGCAUAACGUCGCAAGACCAAAGUGGGGGACCUUCGGGCCUCAUGCCAUCAGAUGUGCCCAGAUGGGAUUAGCUAGUAGGUGGGGUAAUGGCUCACCUAGGCGACGAUCCCUAGCUGGUCUGGGAGGAUGACCAGCCACACUGGAACUGAGACACGGUCCAGACUCCUACGGGAGGCAGCAGUGGGGAAUAUUGCACAAUGGGCGCAAGCCUGAUGCAGCCAUGCCGCGUGUGUGAAGAAGGCCUUCGGGUUGUAAAGCACUUUCAGCGGGGAGGAAGGCGAUAAGGUUAAUAACCUCAUCGAUUGACGUUACCCGCAGAAGAAGCACCGGCUAACUCCGUGCCAGCAGCCGCGGUAAUACGGAGGGUGCAAGCGUUAAUCGGAAUUACUGGGCGUAAAGCGCACGCAGGCGGUCUGUCAAGUCGGAUGUGAAAUCCCCGGGCUCAACCUGGGAACUGCAUUCGAAACUGGCAGGCUAGAGUCUUGUAGAGGGGGGUAGAAUUCCAGGUGUAGCGGUGAAAUGCGUAGAGAUCUGGAGGAAUACCGGUGGCGAAGGCGGCCCCCUGGACAAAGACUGACGCUCAGGUGCGAAAGCGUGGGGAGCAAACAGGAUUAGAUACCCUGGUAGUCCACGCCGUAAACGAUGUCGAUUUGGAGGUUGUGCCCUUGAGGCGUGGCUUCCGGAGCUAACGCGUUAAAUCGACCGCCUGGGGAGUACGGCCGCAAGGUUAAAACUCAAAUGAAUUGACGGGGGCCCGCACAAGCGGUGGAGCAUGUGGUUUAAUUCGAUGCAACGCGAAGAACCUUACCUGGUCUUGACAUCCACAGAACUUUCCAGAGAUGGAUUGGUGCCUUCGGGAACUGUGAGACAGGUGCUGCAUGGCUGUCGUCAGCUCGUGUUGUGAAAUGUUGGGUUAAGUCCCGCAACGAGCGCAACCCUUAUCCUUUGUUGCCAGCGGUCCGGCCGGGAACUCAAAGGAGACUGCCAGUGAUAAACUGGGGGAAGGUGGGGAUGACGUCAAGUCAUCAUGGCCCUUACGACCAGGGCUACACACGUGCUACAAUGGCAUAUACAAAGAGAAGCGACCUCGCGAGAGCAAGCGGACCUCAUAAAGUAUGUCGUAGUCCGGAUUGGAGUCUGCAACUCGACUCCAUGAAGUCGGAAUCGCUAGUAAUCGUAGAUCAGAAUGCUACGGUGAAUACGUUCCCGGGCCU
rnacentral:rRNA from 1 species